GAUGAAGAACGUAGCGAAAUGCGAUAAGUAAUGUGAAUUGCAGAAUUCAGUGAAUCAUCGAAUCUUUGAACGCACAUUGCGCCCAUUAGUAUUCUAGUGGGCAUGCCUGUUCGAGCGUCAUUUCAACCCUUAAGCCUAGCUUAGUAUUGGGAAUCGACUUUACUGUCGUUCCUCAAAUUCAACGGCGGAUUUAUAGCAAUCUCUGAACGUAGUAAUUUUUUUCCUCGUUUUUGAAAUACUAUAAACCUCAGCCGCUAAACCCCCAAUUUUUUUAUGGUUGACCUCGGAUCAGGUAGGAAUACCCGCUGAACUUAAGCAUAUCAUAAGCGGAGGA
rnacentral:misc_RNA from 1 species